rnacentral:misc_RNA from 1 species
AAAAGACCAUGUAAAAGAACACAAUAUCAAAACUACAGCAAACCCCUAUCAGCAUACUCAUUACAACACUUCAGAAACAACUGUAUCUAACUUACCAAAUUCACUCCCCAACAAACUCUCCUCCCACAGAACUUAAACUAAACUCGAUUUGUGAUAUAUAGGAUACUUAUAGAAUAAAUUUUAUUAAUUUAUAUAAAUAUUUAGUCUUUUAAUUAAU